UACGUAGGGAGCAAGCGUUGUUCGGACUUACUGGGCGUAAAGGGCGCGUAGGCGGCGCGGUAAGUCACUUGUGAAAUCUCUGAGCUUAACUCAGAACGGCCAAGUGAUACUGCAGUGCUAGAGUGCAGAAGGGGCAAUCGGAAUUCUUGGUGUAGCGGUGAAAUGCGUAGAUAUCAAGAGGAACACCUGAGGUGAAGACGGGUUGCUGGGCUGACACUGACGCUGAGGCGCGAAAGCCAGGGGAGCAAACGGG
rnacentral:rRNA from 1 species